rnacentral:rRNA from 1 species
AGAGUUUGAUCCUGGCUCAGAACGAACGCUGGCGGCGUGGCUAAGGCAUGCAAGUCGAGCGAACAUGUUCCAAGGGCAACCGCGGGGCAUGUUAGCGGCGGACGGGUGAGGAAUGCUUGGAUAACGUACCCUGGACUCGGGGAUAGCGGCGGGGGCAACCCCUUUGCGAAAGUGCCGGUAAUACCCGAUGACCCCACGGAAUCGCAUGAUUCUGCGGGCAAAGCUCCGACGGUCCGGGAGCGGUUCAUGUCCUAUCAGCUUGUUGGUGAGGUAACGGCUCACCAAGGCAACGACGGGUAGCGGGCGUGAGAGCGUGACCCGCCACAUCGGGACUGAGACACUGCCCGGACACCUACGGGUGGCUGCAGCAACGAAUAUUCCGCAAUGGACGAAAGUCUGACGGAGCGACGUCGCGUGUAGGAAGAAGUCCUUCGGGAUGUAAACUACUGUCAGGGGCUAGGAAGAUCUGACCAGCCCCAGAGGAAGCACUGGCUAACUCCGUGCCAGCAGCCGCGGUAAUACGGAGAGUGCAAGCGUUGUUCGGAAUUACUGGGCUUAAAGCGCGUGUAGGCGGGAUGUCAGGUGUCCUGUGAAAGCCCCGGGCUCAACCCGGGAACGGCAGGGGAAACCGGCAUUCUUGAGGCAGGGUAGAGGUCACUGGAACAAGUGGUGGAGCGGUGAAAUGCGUAGAUAUCACUUGGAACGCCGGAGGCGAAAGCGGGUGGCUGGACCUGUCCUGACGCUGAGACGCGAAAGCGUGGGUAGCGAACAGGAUUAGAUACCCUGGUAGUCCACGCCGUAAACGAUGCGCACUAGGUAUGGGAGGUUUUGACGCCGACCGUGCCGAAGCAAAAGUGGUAAGUGCGCCGCCUGGGGAGUACGGCCGCAAGGCUAAAACUCAAAAGAAUUGACGGGGGCUCACACAAGCGGUGGAGCAUGUGGAUUAAUUCGAAGCAACGCGAAGAACCCUACCUGGGUUUGACAUGUUUGGAUGCCCUCUUGGAAACAGGAGUAAGCUGCCUUCGGGUGAAACUUACACAGGUGCUGCAUGGCUGUCGUCAGCUCGUGCUGUGAAGUGUCGGGUUAAGUCCCUUAAAGAGCGAAACCCCUAUCGUUAGUUACUAACGCGCAUGCCGGGGACUCUAGCGAGACUGCCGGCGUCAAGUCGGAGGAAGGUGGGGACGACGUCAAGUCAUCGUGGCCCUUAUGUCCAGGGUGUCACACGUGCUACAAUGGUCGGUACAGAGCGACGCAAUACCGCGAGGUGGAGCAAAUCGCAGAAAACCGGCCCCAGUUCGGAUUGGAUUCUGCAACUCGACUCCAUGAAGUUGGAAUCGCUAGUAAUCGCGUAUCAGCCAUGACGCGGUGAAUGUGUUCCUGAGCCUUGUACACACCGCCCGUCAAGUCAUGGAAGCUGGGAGUACCCGAAGUCCGCUUAGCUAACCGCAAGGAGGCGGCGGCCGACGGUAAGACCGGUGACUGGGACUAAGUCGUAACAAGGUAACC